rnacentral:rRNA from 1 species
AGAUUGAACGCUAGCGGGAUGCUUUACACAUGCAAGUCGAACGGCAGCGCGGACUUCGGUCUGGCGGCGAGUGGCGAACGGGUGAGUAAUAUAUCGGAACGUGCCCAGUAGCGGGGGAUAACUACGCGAAAGCGUGGCUAAUACCGCAUACGCCCUACGGGGGAAAGGGGGGAUCGGCAAGACCUCUCACUAUUGGAGCGGCCGAUAUCAGAUUAGCUAGUUGGUGAGGUAAAGGCUCACCAAGGCGACGAUCUGUAGCUGGUUUGAGAGGACGACCAGCCACACUGGGACUGAGACACGGCCCAGACUCCUACGGGAGCAGCAGGUGGGAAUUUGGACAAGUAGGGGAAACCUGGAUCCAGCCAUCCCGCGUGUGCGAUGGAAGGUCCGUUCGGGUU